rnacentral:rRNA from 1 species
GACGAACGCUGGCGGCGCGCCUAACACAUGCAAGUCGAGCGAGAACCAGGGCUUCGGCCCUGGGGACAGCGGCGAACGGGUGAGUAACACGUGGAUAACCUGCCCUCGGCACCGGAAUAGCCCGGGGAAACCCGGAUUAAUGCCGGAUGGCCCCACAUCCCUGCGGGGAACGUGGGAAAAGGUAGCUUCGGCCUCUGGCCGAGGAUGGGUCCGCGGUGGAUUAGCUUGUUGGCGGGGUAACGGCCCACCAAGGCGACGAUCCAUAGCUGGUCUGGGAGGACGAGCAGCCACACUGGGACUGAGACACGGCCCAGACUCCUACGGGAGGCAGCAGUGGGGAAUCUUGCGCAAUGGGCGAAAGCCUGACGCAGCGACGCCGCGUGCGGGAAGAAGGCCUUCGGGUUGUAAACCGCUUUCAGGAGGGACGAAGCCACUCGGGUGAACAGCCCAGAGGGUGACGGUACCUCCAGAAGAAGCCCCGGCUAACUACGUGCCAGCCGCCGCGGUAAAAC